CGGGCAAGCCGUUCUAUCGCUUCAAUUAAUUUUGAAGAGGAAAGUCCGGGCAACACAGAGCAUCCUGCUUCCUAACGGGAAGGAUCCUGGUUAACAGGAGACGGAAAGUGCCACAGAAAAUAAACUACUGCUGAUUUCUGAUCGGCAGAAAAGGUGAAAACGUGAGGUAAGAGCUCACGGCUUUGAAUGGCGACAUUCAUCGCGGUAAACCCCAGGAGUUGAAAGACCAAAUAAACCCCGGUUACGGAGCUGCUCGUUCCUAAUACUUGUAUUACCGGGAAGGGUAGGUCGUUUGAGCGUAUCAGCAAUGAUACGCCUAGAUAAAUGAUAGAAGCCCCCGAUUUAUCGUGGGAACAGAACCCGGCUUACAGGCUUGCAUUUUUU
rnacentral:RNase_P_RNA from 1 species